rnacentral:rRNA from 1 species
AACGCAGCGAAGGGCGAUAAGUAAUGUGAAUUGCAGAAUUCAGUGAAUCAUCGAAUCUUUGAACGCACAUUGCGCCCCUUGGUAUUCCGAGGGGCAUGCCUGUUCGAGCGUCAUUUAACCACUCACGCCUAGCGUGGUAUUGGGGCACGCGGUCUCGCGGCCCUCAAAAUUAGUGGCGGCGCCGGUGGGCUCUAAGCGUAGUACAUACCUCCCGCUAUAGACGUUCCCCCGGUGGCUCGCCAGAACCCCCCAAUUUUUUAUUAUCUGGCCUCAAAUCAGGUAGGACUACCCGCUGAACUUAA